AACAGGAUUAGAUACCCUGGUAGUCCACGCUGUAAACGAUGUCAACUUGGAGGUUGUUUCCAUUGAGAGAUGGCUUCCGAAGCUAACGCAUUAAGUUGACCGCCUGGGAAGUACGGUCGCAAGGCUAAAACUCAAAUGAAUUGACGGGGGCCCGCACAAGCGGUGGAGCAUGUGGUUUAAUUCGAUGCAACGCGAAAAACCUUACCUGGUCUUGACAUCCAUAGAAUUUCUUAGAAAUAAGAAAGUGCCCUUUGGGAACUAUGAGACAGGUGCUGCAUGGCUGUCGUCAGCUCGUGUUGUGAAAUGUUGGGUUAAGUCCCGCAACGAGCGCAACCCUUAUCCUUUUUUGCCAUCGGUUCGGCCGGGAACUCAAAGGAGACUGCCAGUUAUAAAUUGGAGGAAGGUGGGGACGACGUCAAGUCAUCAUGGCCCUUACGACCAGGGCUACACACGUGCUACAAUGGUACAUACAAAGAGAAGCAACUCUGUAAAGACAAGCAAAUCUCAUAAAGUGUAUCUUAGUCCGGACUGGAGUCUGCAACUCGACUCCACGAAGUCGGAAUCGCUAGUAAUCGUGAAUCAGAAUGUCACGGUGAAUACGUUCCCGGGCCUUGUACACACCGCCCGUCACACCAUGGAAGUGAAUUGCAAAAGAAGCAAGUAGUUUAACCGUUUUACGGAGAACGCUUACCACUUUGUGGUUCAUAACUGGGGUGAAGUCGUAACAAGGUAACUGUAGGGGAACCUGCGGCUGGAUCACCUCCUU
rnacentral:rRNA from 1 species